UAUGUGAUCGUCUCUCGCAUAUCAAUAAGCGGAGGAAAAGAAACUAACAAGGAUUCCCCUAGUAACGGCGAGUGAAGCGGGAAGAGCUCAAAUUUGAAAUCUUAAAGGGUUUCCCUUUACGAAUUGUAGUUUAAAGAAGUGUUUUCUGUUGAGGUUUUGGUAAAAGUUCUUUGGAAUAGGACAUCAUAGAGGGUGAGAAUCCCGUAUUUGACCUUUACUUUCAACUUUGUGAUACACUUUCAAAGAGUCGGAUUGUUUGGGAAUGCAGUCCAAAAUGGGUGGUAAAUUUCAUCUAAAGCUAAAUAUUGGCGAGAGACCGAUAGCGAACAAGUACCGUGAGGGAAAGAUGAAAAGAACUUUGAAAAGAGAGUUAAACAGUACGUGGAAAUUGUCAAAAGGGAAGCGCUUGACACCAGUGUUGUUUUUCUGAAAAUCAAUUAAAGAACUGUUUAUGCUAAGUUGUUUAGACUUUAUCAGCUAUCUGUUUAGUUUUGAGCUUUUCUUUAAUGCACUUUUCAGUUAACAAGUCAACAUCAAUUUCUUUUGCUGUAAAAAAGCUUGAGGAAGGUGGCUUGAGAUUCGUCUUAAGUGUUUAUAGCCUCUUGCCUAUGCAGUCGGAGAGAUUGAGGUCUGCAGCGUAGAUCCUUCGGGGCUAAAUGCAUUUGUGCUAAGUUAUAGCAUUUUAUAGACAACUUGUUGACUAUGAUUUGUCUUGUAGCUUACUCGCUUAUGUUAUUUUACCUACGCUUAGGAUGUUGAAGACUCUACAGAGAUA
rnacentral:rRNA from 1 species